rnacentral:rRNA from 1 species
UACGGGGGGUGCAAACGUUGCUCGGAAUUAUUGGGCGUAAAGCGCACGUAGGCGGUCCUCUAAGUCGGGUGUGAAAGCCCGGGGCUUAACCCCGGAAGUGCACUCGAAACUGGAGGGCUUGAGUAUGGAAGAGGGUCUCGGAAUUCCCGGUGUAGAGGUGAAAUUCGUAGAUAUCGAGAGGAACACCGGUGGCGAAGGCGGCCUUCUGGACAGUGACUGACGCUGAGACGCGAAAGCGUGGGGAGCAAACAGG